rnacentral:sRNA from 1 species
GCCGGGCGCAGUGGCCCACGCCUGUCAUCCCAGCGGCUCGGGAGGCUGAGGCAGGAGGAUCGCCAGGUGGAGGCCAGCCUCAGCCACUUAGCGAGGCCCUGUCUCUA